rnacentral:rRNA from 1 species
GACGUAGGGCGCGAGCGUUUGUCCGGAUUUAUUGGGCGUAAAGAGCUCGUAGGCGGCUUGUCGCGUCGGGAGUGAAAACUCAGGGCUUAACCCUGAGCCUGCUUCCGAUACGGGCAGACUAGAGGUAUGCAGGGGAGAACGGAAUUCCUGGUGUAGCGGUGGAAUGCGCAGAUAUCAGGAAGAACACCAGGUGGCGAAGGCGGCUCCUGUCGGC